rnacentral:hammerhead_ribozyme from 1 species
GUACUGCUGAGGAGUCCUAGAAUAGGACGAAACAGUCGUCAAGUGA